rnacentral:lncRNA from 1 species
AGCAAGAAAGAAAGGACUAAGAAGCAACCAACUAAAUAAUCUCAAUUUACUCAAACCAUACAAAGUACAUACUCUCUGCACCCAAAUCUGCUAAAAUUUGCCUAAUUUUUUUUUGUUUUUGUAAAUUUUUUAAUGAAUGAAUUAACAAAUUUCUUUUAUUUUUGGGUUUGAAUCCGUGCUGACAUAAUCAAUCAAUGGUAUUCUUUUCUGUUUUCUUUUGUUUUUUUUUUAAUUCAAUAGGAUUUAAUUUUUUAUUGCUUUUGGCUAAUUUUGUGUUUUAAACAAUUUCGCUAAUUUUGUUUACAUGUAUCAUUUUUCUCUAGGUUUAAUGGCUAAUUUUUUACAGGUA